rnacentral:rRNA from 1 species
UACGUAGGUGACAAGCGUUGUCCAGAUUUACUGGGCGUAAAGAGCGCGCAGGCGGUCGUUCAAGUCGAGUGUGAAAGCCCCCGGCUCAACUGGGGAGGGUCAUUCGAUACUGAUCGACUCGAAGGCAGGAGAGGGUAGUGGAAUUCCCGGUGUAGUGGUGAAAUGCGUAGAUAUCGGGAGGAACACCAGUGGCGAAGGCGACUACCUGGCCUGUUCUUGACGCUGAGGCGCGAAAGCUAGGGGAGCAAACGGGAUUAAGAAA